AAUGCCUAAUAUGAUCACAAGUUGUAUUGAGAUGAACUACUCCUGACUAUCUUUAUUUUGUCUAUAGAAUGGUGUCAUUCUAAGGCGAUUACCAGAGCCAUAGAUGGUUCUAUUGCUGUUGACAAAAACUGUGUGGAGCUGGAGCUGCUGAUACAGAAGUCGUGACAAGUACUAAUCUGGUCACAUAAUCAUCUAGACAAAGGGAAACUUCUUAGCCAGUCUUCGACAAUUCUUGAACCGACUUUUCAAAUGGAUCAGCUGCAUGACCCUGCAGAUUUUUUGCAGCCUAUGAGAAGUUCGAAAACACACGUAAAGAAUUGAAGAAACAGAGAGGUGAAGACCCAAAUGAGCGCCAAAUUCCCACUACUGCUAGGGAACGUCGACCUGAAAUGCCACGGUACUAUUGCAAAUUUGCAAUACCGAGUUUACUUUUUUAUUUUACUAAAUUGUGUUCUUUUUAAAUUCUAAUGGUGUAAAGUUAAUUUCAUACUUCAAGAGAAGAACGAGUUAUCAGCAUCAUGUCUACUCCAGUCAACCUGAAAAUGAUGUGUUAUCUUCUCAAGAAGCACUGCAAGAUACUGUUCACAUAGUCAAGCAUGCUAUGGAGAUCAUUCAUCUUCUAACCACAAAACAGUAUUACAUCUUUACUC